CGAACCAACGGAUGUGCUCCCACGUAUGCCAUCAAGGUGUGAUACGACUUCACAUGUCUUUUGACGUUGUCCUCCUCCAUCAAUUAAGUCAUCUUCGAAACUUUACCCUAAUUUCAUUAGACAUAUGCUGAAGAUCCGAGACGAAACGUUCUUCAAGAAUCGUCCGACGCAUUUCUGUUGAUAGUGGCUUUCUGGCAGCGGUAAACAUUUUAUCGGCUAGAGCUUAUCGGCUGAAGCAUACAGAAUUACCUGGUACAGUUAAGGUCGAUAAAGAAAUGGAGCAGCCACCGGAGGCCGUCGACUGCAAACCACCUGCCGCCAAGCCGGUGACCUUCAGCUGGACAGCCCCGGACAACAACAGUUACAGGACCUGCAACCAAAACAGGUCUUGCCCCUGGCCAGAGUGGAGUGACACGGUCGUCAAUAAUGAACGAUGGGGCAUGGUAUCUGCAAAAGCCAAAGAAAAAAAGCAAGCCGCAUCUGCUGCACCAAUACUUCCUCCCACGGAGCUUUUUGAAGAUGCCAUGGGGAAGAAGUUUCUGUUUUCUGACAUGGAGGCCAACAGCUGGACGCGUCUUUCAGGAGUAUUAUUCGUCUCUGAGUGAAGACGUCGCUCCAGUUAUAUGGGAUGAAAGGGAGUUUGUGUACGACGUGUUGUCGCCAAAUAAACAUCUUGUCAAGUACAAGGUGAUGCGGCAGAUGGUGUCUGUACUGCACGCGCUCUGGGAGCUGGGCAACUCUGGCGUGCUGCUCAACACCAACUUCUGGGCG